rnacentral:rRNA from 1 species
GACGAAGGAUGCAAGCGUUAUCCGGAUUCAUUGGGUUUAAAGGGAGCGUAGGUGGCCUUAUAAGUCAGUGGUGAAAUCUCUGGGCUUAACCCAGAAAUUGCCAUUGAUACUGUAGGGCUUGAGUAUAGUUGCCGUUGGCGGAAUAUGACAUGUAGUGGUGAAAUACAUAGAGAUGUCAUAGAACACCGAUUGCGAAGGCAGCUGACGAAACUAUAACUGACACUGAGGCUCGAAAGUGAGGGGAUCAAACAGG